UACGGAGGGUGCGAGCGUUGUUCGGAAUUACUGGGCGUAAAGGGCGCGUAGGCGGCCUGUUAAGUCGAACGUGAAAUCCCCGGGCUCAACCCGGGAACUGCGUCCGAUACUGGCAGGCUUGAAUUCGGGAGAGGGAUGUGGAAUUCCAGGUGUAGCGGUGAAAUGCGUAGAUAUCUGGAGGAACACCGGUGGCGAAGGCGGCAUCCUGGACCGAUAUUGACGCUGAUGCGCGAAAGCCAGGGGAGCAAACGGG
rnacentral:rRNA from 1 species